AACGAACGCUUGCGGCGCGCCUAAUACAUGCAAGUCGAGCGAGAAAGUUCUUCGGAAUGAGUACAGCGGCGGACGGGUGAGGAAAACGUAGAUAAUCUGCCUUAAAGUGGGGAAUAGCUACUCGAAAGAGUAAUUAAUACCGCAUAAGACCACAAGAUCUGCGGAUCAAGGGGUUAAAGGAGCAAUUCGCUUUAAGAUGAGUCUGCGUCCGAUUAGCUAGUUGGUGAGGUAAUGGCUCACCAAGGCGAUGAUCGGUAACUGGUCUGAGAGGAUGGCCAGUCACACUGGAACUGAGACACGGUCCAGACUCCUGCGGGAGGCAGCAGUAGGGAAUAUUGCACAAUGGACGAAAGUCUGAUGCAGCGACGCCGCGUGAGUGAUGAAGGCCUUCGGGUCGUAAAACUCUGUGAUAAGGGAAGAUGAUGACGGUACCUUAUCAGAAAAGACCGGCUAACUUCGUGCCAGCAGCCGCCGUAA
rnacentral:rRNA from 1 species